GACGAACGCUGGCGGCGUGCUUAACACAUGCAAGUCGAACGGAAAGGCCCUGCUUUUGUGGGGUGCUCGAGUGGCGAACGGGUGAGUAACACGUGAGUAACCUGCCCUUGACUUUGGGAUAACUUCAGGAAACUGGGGCUAAUACCGGAUAGGAGCUCCUGCUGCAUGGUGGGGGUUGGAAAGUUUCGGCGGUUGGGGAUGGACGCGCGGCUUAUCAGCUUGUUGGUGGGGUAGUGGCUUACCAAGGCUUUGACGGGUAGCCGGCCUGAGAGGGUGACCGGCCACAUGGGGACUGCGAUACGGCCCAGACUCCUACGGGAGGCAGCAGUGGGGAAUAUUGCACAAUGGGCGGAAGCCUGAUGCAGCAACGCCGCGUGCGGGAUGACGGCCUUCGGGUUGUAAACCGCUUUCGCCUGUGACGAAGCGUGAGUGACGGUAAUGGGUAAAGAAGCACCGGCUAACUACGUG
rnacentral:rRNA from 1 species